UCUCGCAGCCAUAUCACCCUGCAGCCCAAGACUGGUUGCCCACUGAAGCUAAGCAGGGAUGAACUGGUCAGUACCUGGAUGGGAGACCUCCUGGGAAAACUAGGUUGCUGCUGGAA
rnacentral:rRNA from 1 species